rnacentral:lncRNA from 1 species
UAAUACUGAAAAAGAACAGCACAAUUGCUGCGCCCCCUCCCCUGUUUUUCACUUUCAGCUCCACCAAAAUCUGAGCCGAGAGAACUAAGGAAAACAGCAGGCAAAAUUGAAAGGAGAAAAGGUGAAAAGAAUCAUAGGAAAAUUGUAGAGAAAAAAGGAAGCCGAGAAAGAAGAACGGUACACAAUUCUUGUCUCUUAUUCCUUUGCAAAAGUCAAUUUGUUUUU